UAACUCAUAGGAUUGUGCCACGUGU
rnacentral:siRNA from 1 species